rnacentral:rRNA from 1 species
GAUGAACGCUGGCGGCGUGCUUAACACAUGCAAGUCGAACGGGAAACCUUUUAUUGAAGCUUCGGCAGGUUUGGCUGGUUUCUAGUGGCGGACGGGUGAGUAACGCGUGGGUAUCCUGCCUUAUACAGGGGGAUAACAGUCAGACAUGGCUGCUAAUCCCGCUUAAGCGCACAGAGGUGCAUGGCUCAGUGUGAAAUACUCCGGUGGUAUAAGAUGGACCCGCGUUGGUUUAGCUGGUUGGUGGGGUAACGGACCACCAAGGCGACGAUCCAUAGCCGGCCUGGGAGGGUGAACGGCCACAUUGGGACUGAGACACGGCCCAGACUCCGACGGGAGGCAGCAGUGGGGAAUAUUGCACAAUGGGGUAAAGCCGGAUGCAGCGACGCCGCGUGAAGGAAGAAGUAUCUCAGUAUGUAAACUUCUAUCAGCAGGGAAGAUAAUGACGGUACCUGACGAAGAAGCCCCGGCUAACUACGUG